UACGUAGGGAGCAAGCGUUGUCCGGAAUCAUUGGGCGUAAAGCGCGCGUAGGUGGCCAUGUAAGUCCGCUGUGAACGUCAAAGGCUCAACCUUUGAAAGCCGGUGGAUACUGCAUGGCUAGAGUACGGAAGAGGCGAGUGGAAUUCCUGGUGUAGCGGUGGAAUGCGCAGAUAUCAGGAGGAACACCAAUAGCGAAGGCAGCUCGCUGGGACGUCACUGACACUGAGGCGCGAAAGCGUGGGGAGCGAACAGG
rnacentral:rRNA from 1 species